UACAGAGGGGGCAAGCGUUGUUCGGAAUUACUGGGCGUAAAGGGCGCGUAGGCGGCCCGCUAAGUCGAACGUGAAAUCCCCGAGCUCAACUCGGGAACUGCGUCCGAUACUGGUGGGCUUGAAUCCGGGAGAGGGAUGCAGAAUUCCAGGUGUAGCGGUGAAAUGCGUAGAUAUCUGGAGGAACACCGGUGGCGAAGGCGGCAUCCUGGACCGGCAUUGACGCUGAGGCGCGAAAGCUAGGGGAGCAAACGGG
rnacentral:rRNA from 1 species